UUCAAUAGUGUUUUGGGUUUUUCAGCAAGGACUUCUCAUAUUUGGAAGAGUAGAUUGAACCAAGAUAUCAAAAAAUAUAGAGCAAAAACAUAUCAGAAGCUGUCAAAGAUGGAAUCAAAGUUAAACCCAUAUAGAAAGAAUUCCACUUGUAAAUUCAUAUUCCAUUGUAACAUGUUGUAUGGUAUUUUGUAGAACUUAAAACAAUGAUAGUGGUGAAUUUUAAAUAUGUACUUUGAGGUUAUACAAA